rnacentral:rRNA from 1 species
AUUGAACGCUGGCGGCGUGCUUUACACAUGCAAGUCGAACGACAACACGAGCUUCUUCCUGGCCUCACGUUGCGGACGGGUGAGUAAUACAUCGGAACGUGCCCAAUAUUUGAGAAUGGCUCAACUAAAGCCAGAUUAAUACCACAUACGACCUUAUAUUGAAAGCCAUGGUUCUUCAGACCUCGCGCUUUUUGCUCUGCCUAUUGCAGAUUAGCUAGUUGGUUUGGUAAAGGCCUACCAAGGCGACGAUCUGUAGCUGGUCUGAGAGGACGACCAGCCACACUGGGACUGAGACACGGCCCAGACUCCUACGGGAGGCAGCAGUGGGGAAUUUUCGGCAAUGGGCGAAAGCCUGACGGAGCAACGCCGCGUGUGUGAUGAAGGUCUUCGGGUUGUAAAGCACUUUUGGCGGGAAAGAAAAGGACUGUGAGAAUACAACGGUUUGAUGACGGUACCCGAAGAAUAAGCAACGGCUAACUACGUG